rfam:Bilophila wadsworthia 3_1_6 genomic scaffold acCls-supercont2.2, whole genome shotgun sequence.
CUCCGGGUGUGGGCUAAUACAAGACCGGCUUGCCGGGAAUAUGCCCGCCGUUCCAAGGACGGUUUUGAGCACCCGGAGUUUUCUAU